rnacentral:rRNA from 1 species
UACGUAGGUGGCAAGCAUUGUUCGGAAUUAUUGGGCGUAAAGGGCGCGUAGGCGGUUUUGUAAGUCGGCUGUGAAAGCCCGGGGCUCAACCCCGGAGGGUCGGCUGAUACUGCAAGACUAGAGUACGGAAGAGGUAGCUGGAAUUCCCGGUGUAGCGGUGAAAUGCGUAGAUAUCGGGAAGAACACCUGAGGCGAAGGCGGGCUACUGGGCCGAUACUGACGCUGAGGCGCGAAAGCCAGGGGAGCAAACGGG